ACACACAAAACAGUGUUACUACUUGAAGCUGAUUAAAAGGGUUAAGUUUGAAAAGUGUUUAACUGUGUAUGUUAAACGUGUACAAAUACUUAUCCACUGAAUGUUUAUUAGUUCAUGUUGAGUUACUGAGUAUUUAUAAAGUAAAUUCUUUUAAGAAUCACACAUUGCGUGAUGGUGGGAGUGUGUUUGCUGUUACAAGCUUUCGUAAUCUAUAAUGUUUAUUUCCACUAGAUGGCGCUUGUGUACUUCAACACUCAUUUAUUUCAGUAACUUUUUGAUCAGUCUAAUCUGUAUAUUUUUAUAUUUCGACUAUUUUAUAAUACUUAUUGUGAUUUAUAUACUCAACUGUUGUAUAUUUGAGGAAUAUUUAUUCUUUCUAAGAGUUUUCUUUGGUUAUAUUUUAUUUUGCUCCCAUCGUGCCUUUGUAUGUCACUUCCUGUUUUGUCACGGAGAACGAGUCAGAACUGCGGUCCGAGUUUCACAGAGCAAUUCUGCUGAUCAUAUGGAAUGAUGUAAUCAUUGCAAAGUUUAAAGUAUUUUUAUUUAGAAGUCAUCCGAUAAAGAAGCUUCAAGAUAACCCCCUCUCUUAGCUCAUAAGCAGGCAAAAGUGGCAAGGACACGUUCGAGGCCGUGGGGAAGCAGAUUCGCGACCUGGAAGAGAGGCAGGUCCAGCUGAGAGAGAGGAGAGCCGCGCUGGAAUCAUCCCGGGCUGACGCUCACAAGUCCGGGAUACCCGCGAUCCUGAAGGACGACGAGAGCCCCAGAGCGGUCGUGCUUCACGCCGGGGUUAACGACACCACGCUGCGGCAGACGGAGACGCUGAAGAGGGACUUCAGGAGCCUGAUCGAGACGGUUCGCAGCACGACGCCCGCAGCGACGAUCGUCGUGUCAGGACCACUGCCCACAUAUCGACGAGGACACGAAAGGUUCAGUAGACUUUUUGCUUUAAAUGAAUGGUUGUUGUCAUGGUGUAAAGAACAGAAACUGCUAUUUGUUAAUAACUGGAAUCUUUUCUGGGAGCGUCCUAGACUGUUUCGCGCUGAUGGAUUACACCCCAGCAGAAUCGGAGCGGAGCUUCUCUCUGACAACAUCUCCAGGACACUUCGCUCAAUGUGA